rnacentral:rRNA from 1 species
UGAGCGGAAUUUCCUGGUGUAGCGGUGGAAUGCGUAGAUAUCCAGGAAGAACACCCGAUGGCGAAGGGCGGGCUCACUGGCGCAGUACUGACCCUUCAUGGACGAAAGCGUGGGGGAGCAAACCAGGAUUAGAUACCCCUGGUAGUCCCACGCUGUAAACCGUUGUGCACUAGAUGUGGGCGGAUUUUGAUCCCCGUCCCGUGUCCCCAGCUAACGCGAUAAGUGCACCGCCUGGGGACUACGGCCGCAAGGCUAAAACUCCAAAGGAAUUGACGGGGACCCGCACAAGCCGGUGGAGCCAUGUGGCUCAAUUCGAGGCAACGCGAAGAACCUUACCUGGGCUUGACAUAUUCCGGACCGUCUGUGAAAGCAGGCUUUCUUUCGGGACCGGUUUACAGGUGCUGCAUGGCUGUCGUCAGCUCGUGUCGUGAGAUGUUCGGUUAAGUCCGGCAACGAGCGCAACCCGUGUCGCUAGUUACCAUCGGGUGAUGCCGGGGACUCUAGCGAGACUGCCCGUGUCCAAGCGGGAGGAAGGCGCGGAUGACGUCAAGUCCGUAUGGCCCUUACGUCCAGGGCUGGCACACG